rnacentral:misc_RNA from 1 species
AGCAUUAGCAGCGAACCCAAAGCCAUUGUACAGGAGAGACGGUCAUUCUUAUAUCGGGACAGCGAGAUCAUAGAAGAAAAUNAAUCCCUCCACUCGNAAAGCAUUCUGCAUCCGAGAGCACAANCGACUUCCCAUGUGCCAAAGUAGCCAAAAAAGCAUACCAGGUACACGANAGNCGCUGUAUGGUUCAUCCAAUGCCACCUUUGAUGGGGAAAAGAUGAAUAGCAUUACGCAACAAAAUUNGAUUCCGCUAAGUGGGUAUGCAACACAGAAACCCAUCCUUGCCCGACAUAGCAACAUGCCUUCGAGACAA